rnacentral:rRNA from 1 species
UACGGAGGGUGCGAGCGUUGUCCGGAUUUAUUGGGCGUAAAGAGCGUGUAGGCGGCUAGAUAGGUCCGUUGUGAAAACUCGAGGCUCAACCUCGAGACGUCGAUGGAAACCAUCUGGCUAGAGUCCGGAAGAGGAGAGUGGAAUUCCUGGUGUAGCGGUGAAAUGCGCAGAUAUCAGGAAGAACACCCGUGGCGAAGGCGGCUCUCUGGUACGUGACUGACGCUGAGACGCGAAAGCGUGGGGAGCAAACAGG